rnacentral:lncRNA from 1 species
UAUUAUCCCCCCAUCUUCUCAUAAUCUCUCCCAAUCUCACCCCUCUUCAGAGACACCCAAAACCCUAGAGCCGCCUAAAAGUCCUCAUCGGCUCCAGUGGCGGCACAGCUUCAAACCGCCUCAAAUUCAUGCAACGCCACCCCAAGGUUCUCUUAAACCCUAUCCCUACAUCUAUUUCUCAAAAAUCCCAAUAAAAGUUUCCUAAUUCCAAAUCUAAGGAGUUUAACCCUGGACUAUUCUGUUUUCUUAAUCUGUGUAGAGAUCCGGCUCGACUUGACUUAUAAAUUAUGCCAGUCAAUUGCCCUUGACAUGAGCAAUCGAUUGGCGUUGGAUUUAUUUUAUUUUGAGGUCACCGGAUUGUGAUGACCUUGUCGUAUUCUAGCCAAAUGUCUAUUCCGUUAUCGUUCGACGAUUUGUGUCGUUUGUCAAGACAUCUCGACGUAAAUUGGUAUUUUCCGCUCUCUUUCCCCCUCAUUAAAGAUAAAUGUAGUAUUUCUGUUUCUACUUAUUUCAUUUUUUGUUUAUCUUAUUUUUCUUUAAAUAAUAGAGUCCUUCUUAUUUGGUAGUUUAAAUUAUCUUUAUUCAUAAAUUCUAAAUUAUUGUUUGUUUUUCUUUUUCUGAGUUUGAUUUUUUGAUCAAUCAUUUGUGAUGGUUUGGACUUGUGAAUUAAUUUUUGUCAUUGCUGACCUGAGUAAGAGACAUUUAAUUGGGAACUUGGGUUAGCUUGACCCAUGUUGGUCUGCUGAACGUAAAAACAAGGGUGUCACGGCGCGUUUUGGUCAUUUGGGGUUUAAGGGAAUUACUUUCUGUUGGUGGAAAGUUGUAGAGGAUAAAAUGAGAGUUGGUUUGUCAAGGGCAGAGGAUUUCAGAUAUUUUUAAAAGGUUAAAAAGGGUAAAAUGAUCAUGAAUUAAAGGGAUAAAAUGUGAAGUGGUUAGCUAGUCUAGGGCUACCUUAGGCAUGCCUAUAUAAAGACCCCUCUCUCUUCAUAUUGAGCAACCAUUCAUACUCUGAAAAAUACAGAGAAGCUCUACAUUUUAUUGGUUCAAAUUUGAGAAAAAUUGUUCUUUGCUUUCAUAGUUAGUAGUAACUCAAAAAAAUUCGAAAGAAUUUUUGUUGAUUUAAGCUCAAAAAUGGCCUAAGGAAGUUGUGAAUUGAAGUGUUGAAGUGCUGACUUGCUGGUGUUAUUGAACCUCUAACUUCUGCUGAUUCCUAAACUCAUUUUCAUUUGUUAUUGACUGCUGUAUUAAGGUACUAUUCUAAAACCUUGAGCAUCAAGUUUAAAUGUUGAAGGUGUGAACGAUUCGGAUUGAUUCACAUGUGUACUCAUUAGUUUAUCUCUUUUACUAUUGUAACUUGUUGCCUAUAUGUUUCUUACAAGUUACCAGCAAGAACAUUUCUAUUUCUUGACAGAAAACUGUGGGAGCAUGCUAAGCGACAGUUUGGUUGUGUUUGACAGAAAACUCCAUUAUAGAUAAAAUUGAUACCAUGGUUAUUUUGAGUAUGAAUUUAGAUCAUAAUGAGUUGUCGACUAUUUCAGCAUGACUUUACAAGCCUGAGUUUCCUUCUUCUUCGAUUCUGUUUAAAGGUUAAGGGAAUAGACCUCCAUUUCAUUCCAUGGUUACCAGCAAGAACACUCCAUUAUAGAUGGAGUAUGUAUUUACAUCAUUUCUGUGAGUUAUUGGGAUCUUGUUGAAUCUUUACAAGUGUGGUUUUGUAUUAGAAUUCAGUCAAGAUCGGUUUAAAUCUGCCCGAAAAUUCUUCCUCUGUUUAACGUGUGAAGUCAUGAGCAUUAUACCGAUUUAUAAAUGAAAUUUCGUUUCUAUUUUAAGAUCAUGCUGUAGUUCAUUAUAUUUGUGUUCAUUUAUGCAUAUAAUAUCCAAUUAAGUUUUCUAUUUGAGUGGUUUAAUAAUGCUCAAUGUCCUUUUUCCAUAGUUAGUUUGGUUUGUGCACCAAGAGAAUUGGGCCAGGCUCGUAAUUGACCCAAAUAAGGCUGUAAAUGUGAGCUUGAACACCUCCCAGAUUUUUAGCCCAAGAGAUUUUAAUAAAUUAUGUGGGCUCAAAUUAGUUCCCAUGCGAGCAGGGAAAUUGAAACGUUAGGGUCUUCACGAAAUUUGCUUAUUUGGGGACAUUUGAGUCCAAUUACAAUUUUGUGUAUGUCCAUUGGGUAUGUUGUAUGUAAGGGCUUUGGUGUUUUAGUGAUCAGAUUGACUUGUCUGCUAGAAAUUCACUAGUAAUCAGUAAAAUAAAAAGAGAGUCGUCCUUAA